CCUACGGGUGGCAGCAGUGAGGAAUAUUGGUCAAUGGGCGAAAGCCUGAACCAGCCAAGUCGCGUGAAGGAUGACGGCCCUAUGGGUCGUAAACUUCUUUUAUAUGGGAAUAAAGUGUGGCACGUGUGGGGUUUUGUAUGUACCAUAUGAAUAAGGAUCGGCUAACUCCGUGCCAGCAGCCGCGGUAAUACGGAGGAUCCGAGCGUUAUCCGGAUUUAUUGGGUUUAAAGGGAGCGUAGGUGGACUGUUAAGUCAGCUGUGAAAGUUUGCGGCUCAACCGUAAAAUUGCAGUUGAAACUGGCAGUCUUGAGUACAGUAGAGGCGGGCGGAAUUCGUGGUGUAGCGGUGAAAUGCUUAGAUAUCACGAAGAACUCCGAUUGCGAAGGCAGCUCACUGGACUGCAACUGACACUGAGGCUCGAAAGUGUGGGUAUCAAACAGGAUUAGAUACCCCAGUAGUC
rnacentral:rRNA from 1 species